CAGUCGCCGCGGUAAUACGAAGGGGGCUAGCGUUGUUCGGAUUUACUGGGCGUAAAGGGCGCGUAGGCGGACUGAUAAGUCAGGGGUGAAAUCCCAAGGCUCAACCUUGGAACUGCCUUUGAUACUGUUUGUCUUGAGUUCGAGAGAGGUAAGUGGAACUGCGAGUGUAGAGGUGAAAUUCGUAGAUAUUCGCAAGAACACCAGUGGCGAAGGCGGCUUACUGGCUCGAAACUGACGCUGAGGCGCGAAAGCGUGGGGAGCAAACAGGAUUAGAUACCCGAGUAGUCCCUGUCUCUUAUAC
rnacentral:rRNA from 1 species